rnacentral:lncRNA from 1 species
ACUGCCCCGCAUGCCGAGGAAAGCUCGCCCAGCUGCGCAAAAUGCUCUGAUUGACGUCGGGUUUCUGCGCACCAAGCUGAGCCAUGACCAAGGGUUAGAGCCGAGGCGACCCCGGACGUGGGCGCUCCAUCUGCUGCUGCGGUUCCCCCUGUUCUCGGCUAAACCGUGGCUGGAACCGGUGCCCGCCAGAGGUGCAGGAGCCGCCCCGCGGGCAGAAGGAGGCGGUAGCCGUGGUCCCUGAAAACCAGGCCCUGCUGACAAAUCUCAGACGCCAGGAACAGAAGAACCAGGAAAAAUGCCCGACAGCUUGAGCCAGAUGGACGGACUGUUGGAACACCUGAGGGUGAAGCUGCGCGAACUCCUCAAAGAGGAACAGCAAAGCAGCCACCAAGAUGGACCAGAAAGAUGAACAAAGAAAAUUAGCAGCAAUCAAAGGCAGAUGCUAAAGCAGUACAAAACCGUUCACACAACGAUAGAGACGGAAUUGAUGAAGAAGUCUGAUAAAUGAAUGACAGAGUGAAAGGACAGCAGUGACCAUGGUAAGGUGCUGACGAUUCUGGUCCACUGGAUCCCAUCAUCCCUAGGACAGUAAAUCUCAUCGCAGUCGCCACUCAGCAAGUUACCACUGCAGCAUUUCCUGUUUGUUCCAAAAUGAAUAAAGGUGAUUCUCAU